CCUACGGGGGGCAGCAGUGGGGGAUAUUGCACAAUGGAGGAAACUCUGAUGCAGCGACGCCGCGUGAGGGAAGACGGUCUUCGGAUUGUAAACCUCUGUCUUUGGGGAAGAAAAUGACGGUACCCAAAGAGGAAGCUCCGGCUAAGUACGUGCCAGCAGCCGCGGUAAUACGUAGGGAGCGAGGGUUGUCCGGAAUUACUGGGGGAAAAGGGAGCGUAGGCGGGCGAGAAAGUUGAAUGUUAAAUCUACCGGUUUAACUGGUAGCUGCGUUCAAAACUUCUUGUCUUGAGUGAAGUAGAGGCAGGCGGAAUUCCUGGUGUAGCGGUGAAAUGCGUAGAUAUUAGGAGGAACACCAGUGGCGAAGGCGGCCUGCUGGGCUUUAACUGACGCUGAGGCUCGAAAGCGUGGGGAGCAAACAGGAUUAGAUACCCCAGUAGUC
rnacentral:rRNA from 1 species